CUGCAGCCCGAGUGGUGGUCGAUUUUAUUGAGCCUAAAGCGUCCGUAGCCGGACUAGUAAACCCUUGGGUAAAUUGGGCAGCUUAACUGUCCAAAUUCCGAGGGGACUGCUAGUCUUGGGACCGGGAGAGGUCAGAGGUACUCAAGGGGUAGGGGCUAAAUCCUGUAAUCCUUUGGGGACCACCAGUGGCGAAGGCGUCUGACUAGAACGGAUCCGACGGUAAGGGACGAAACCCUGGGACGCGAACCGGAUUAGAUACCCGAGUAGUCC
rnacentral:rRNA from 1 species